rnacentral:rRNA from 1 species
AUUGAACGCUGGCGGAAUGCUUUACACAUGCAAGUCGAACGGCAGCACGGACUUCGGUCUGGUGGCGAGUGGCGAACGGGUGAGUAAUACAUCGGAACGUGCCCAGUCGUGGGGGAUAACGUAGCGAAAGAGCAGCUAAUACCGCAUACGACCUGAGGGUGAAAGCGGGGGAUCGCAAGACCUCGCGCAAUUGGAGCGGCCGAUGUCAGAUUAGGUAGUUGGUGGGGUAAAGGCCUACCAAGCCGACGAUCUGUAGUUGGUCUGAGAGGACGACCAGCCACACUGGGACUGAGACACGGCCCAGACUCCUACGGGAGGCAGCAGUGGGGAAUUUUGGACAAUGGGCGCAAGCCUGAUCCAGCAAUGCCGCGUGCAGGAAGAAGGCCUUCGGGUUGUAAACUGCUUUUGUCAGGGAAGAAAUCCUCUGGGUUAAUACCCCGGGGGGAUGACGGUACCUGAAGAAUAAGCACCGGCUAACUACGUGCCAGCCGCCGCGGUAAGAC